GACGAACGCUGGCGGCGUGCUUAACACAUGCAAGUCGAACGGAAAGGCCCUGCUUUUGUGGGGUGCUCGAGUGGCGAACGGGUGAGUAACACGUGAGUAACCUGCCCUUGACUUUGGGAUAACUUCAGGAAACUGGGGCUAAUACCGGAUAGGAGCUCCUGCUGCAUGGUGGGGGUUGGAAAGUUUCGGCGGUUGGGGAUGGACUCGCGGCUUAUCAGCUUGUUGGUGGGGUAGUGGCUUACCAAGGCUUUGACGGGUAGCCGGCCUGAGAGGGUGACCGGCCACAUGGGGACUGAGAUACGGCCCAGACUCGUACGGGAGGCAGCAGUGGGGAAUAUUGCACAAUGGGAGGAAGCCUGAUGCAGCAACGCCGCGUGCGGGAUGACGGCCUUCGGGUUGUAAACCGCUUUCGCCUGUGACGAAGCGUGAGUGGCGGUAAUGGGUAAAGAAGCACCGGCUAACUACGUG
rnacentral:rRNA from 1 species